rnacentral:rRNA from 1 species
AUGACCGUGGAGCUUGGGCCGCCGGAUCGCCGGGUGAGGGACGAUAUGGUGAUUGGCCCCGUCCCUCCUCUGCGUCACAAUUUCCUCGCCAUCGCCGAAGCUGACAGAUUCAUCCCCUUCCACCGCAAGGCAACUCUCCGUCACAUCAUCGAAGGUUUGCUUCACGAAUCUGAGUUCUUUCCUACUGAAGCUGGUGAUCAUCCUCUGGGAGUUGGCAUCUUCGGUUUUUCGCACACGAUUGUGAGAGAUGCUGUAGUUGGAACCAAGUUUGAGAUUGAUGAGGAUGAGUUUGAUGAACAUGUUGUGAUAUCGUUCGUUCCUCACGAUGCUGCUCUUAAUAUGCGGAUUACUUCAUUUGGGCCAGAGAUUUGGUUGCUUUACAUAGGAUUCCCAUAUGAUUAUCAGACGCAACAUUACAUGCAUAAAUCAGUAGACAAGUUUGGUCAACUAGUUGAGUGGCACAAUCCACGUGGUGACCGUUGCUUUGUUUUGCUAAAAGUCAGAGUCAUCCACCUCAAAUUUGUCCCCAAGAGCUUGGUUAAGCGGCAGCUAGGAGGAGCGCGGCAGAGCUGGACUAUUGCUGUCACAAUGCUUCGCAUCAGUGACUGGAACACGCACAUCCCAGAUGUCCCGCCUGCUACUGAAGACCCAGCCCCUGAAAAUGGUCUCCCUCAUCCUCUUUAUGGAGACAAUCUCACUACUGAGCAAAUCUACCAGAUGCAACUCCAUAACUGGAUCGCUCAAAUUGCUGCUGCUAAUGUCAAUGAGGAUGCGGCAAAUGAAGUUGCUGCGCAGGAGGAUGCGGCCAAUGUUCAGUUUCAACCUCAGUGGGGAGUUUGGCCUCCUUCUCCUCCGCACUUACCUCCGGCAGUGUUCAACUUUCAGGCUUGGAUGGCAGAUGAGGGUCUGCAGGUUUACCAUGGUGUUCAUCCCAAUAACAAUUUGCAGGAUAGCCCGGCAGCGGCUUGGAAUGAUUCCAUCUCAAUCUUUAGUAGUUCUGACUCCAGUGCAACCUUGUCUAAUGGAUAUGCUUUGGUGCCACUAGACAUCUUCAGUCAGCUAAUUGCAGCCAAUGGCUCUUCUCUUGAUGUCUCGGCACUUGGAGCCUCAAGCUCAAAUGCCCCUGCUCAUCACACCCCUGCGUGCUCCCUGGCAGUACCUACCACAGAUAUAUCAAUGACCAUUUCAAAUGCUGGUUUACAUCUCCAGGUACAGUCACCUGAAAACACGUAUGCUUCUAUUCUGCUCAAUGAAUGUGUUCCAAUGUUGAGGCUGAAUACCUAUCUGAUAGCAGCUAUUCGGCCGAUCAUUGCUGCUUAUGGGCCCUGGAGUUCGGUUUUUGGAUUCCGUGAUAUUACAGUGCAGCUGAAUGUUAGUAUUUCUGAACAUGAGGAUCACUUCUCAGUUCUAUCGGCUACACGCACUGUCCAACACUCUGAAGAUUCAACUCAGGUCACUGAUGUCAUGCCUGGUAGCAGUACUUGGACUCUGACCCGUUCUGAAGGUUUUUACCAAUCAACACAUGAUUUAGCAAUUGUUCCAAACCCUCCUAAAUCUCAGGUGGUAAUCACAGAAAUCUUGGAUGAAAAUGACACAUCUGCUCAGGCUACAGAAUUACUUUCUGAACACUCUUUCAACACCUCCUCUGGUUCUGUGACCACUGGUUCUUCUGGCUCCUCUGGAAAGGCUGUGUCCUCUGAGACAGCAACAAUUAGGUGA